AGAGUUUGAUCCUGGCUCAGGAUGAACGCUGGCGGUCUGCUUAACACAUGCAAGUCGAACGCAACCUUCGGGUUGAGUGGCGGACGGGUGAGUAACGCGUGAGAAUCUGCCUUAGGGUCGGGGACAACCACUGGAAACGGUGGCUAAUACCGGAUAAGCCGAUUGGUGAAAGAUUUAUUGCCCGAAGAGGAGCUCGCGUCUGAUUAGCUAGUUGGUGAGGUAAGAGCUCACCAAGGCAGCGAUCAGUAGCUGGUCUGAGAGGACGAUCAGCCACACUGGGACUGAGACACGGCCCAGACUCCUACGGGAGGCAGCAGUGGGGAAUUUUCCGCAAUGGGCGAAAGCCUGACGGAGCAAGACCGCGUGAGGGAGGAAGGCUCUUGGGUUGUAAACCUCUUUUCUCAGGGAAGAAGCUCUGACGGUACCUGAGGAAUCAGCCUCGGCUAACUCCGUGCCAGCAGCCGCGGUAAUACGGAGGAGGCAAGCGUUAUCCGGAAUUAUUGGGCGUAAAGCGUCCGCAGGUGGCGAUUCAAGUCUGCUGUCAAAGCACGGGGCUUAACUCCGUUAAGGCAGUGGAAACUGAAUAGCUAGAGUGCCGUAGGGGUAGAGGGAAUUCCCGGUGUAGCGGUGAAAUGCGUA
rnacentral:rRNA from 1 species